rnacentral:pre_miRNA from 1 species
UUUGACUCUUCGUCUUAUUUUAAAUAUUUUUGCGAUUAAUAUUUUUAGUAUUACUAGACGUAAACAUGAAUAAUACUUUAUAUGUGACUAAUUUUUUUUAAAGUUUUUUACAAAAUUUUCAAAUAAAACGAAUGGUCAAA